rnacentral:rRNA from 2 species
CGGUGGUCAUAGCGUUAGGGAAACGCCCGGUCACAUUCCGAACCCGGAAGCUAAGCCUUUCAGCGCCGAUGGUACUGCAGGGGGGACCCUGUGGGAGAGUAGGACACCGCCGAACA